GAGGCUAAUGGCGGUGCCCACGGAACUGCAUGGAGGGAGUGUUAAGGAGACCGCAGCAGAAAAGGAAUCGCGAGUUCUGGAACCUGGCGCCGCCCCGUUCGGAAAUUUUCCUCAUUAUUCUCGCUUCCACCCUCCGGAGCAACGGCUCCGCCUCCUGCCCCCGGAGCUGCUUCGACAGCUCUUUCCUGAGAGUCCCGAGAACGGGCCGAUUCUGGGGCUCGACGUGGGGUGUAACUCCGGGGUGAGUGACGGGAGGGAUUGGAGCAUCCGGAGCCAAGUGGUAGGCUGCCUACACUUCCACUGUGGUUUUGGCCUGGGCUCACACCCAUCGAAACUUUCCCAAAACGAGUAUAAAGCCUGGCUUUGACUGAGCCAGUGCCGCUGCUGCCUGCCCGCCAGGGUUCCACCAUCUGUCUUAGGAAUCUCUCUUGGAGAGGAGUCCUUGUCGACUACGUUCCCACUUCUCUUUCAGGGCCAGACCCCAGGUGGGAACGGUCCUUGUAUCUAGAGUGGCCUUUGUCCAGCGUGCCUGGCGCUUUAGCUGGGGAAAGGGGGCUUCCAGAGACACACGUUUGGGAACAUGGGGUUAGGUUUGGUUUACUGGGAGAGAAGAGCCAAGGGUGACAGAAUCAUGCCUGAUAUUGAGACUCAUGUGUGCUAUACAGUGCAGGACAGACCCUGGGACCUGCAUGUUUAUUUCAAAAAAAGAUCUGAGUGUGGCUCUAUACAAACACUUCCUCUCCCUACCUGACGGGAAGACCUGCUCAGAUGCCUCAAGAGAAUUCCGUCUCCUCUGCUGCGACAUAGAUCCAGUCCUGGUGAAGCGAGCUGAAAAAGAAUGUCCUUUUCCUGAUGCCUUGACCUUUAUCACCCUGGACUUCAUGAACCAAAGGACCCGGAAGGUUCUCUUAAGCUCUUUCUUAAGCCAAUUUGGACGUUCAGUUUUUGACAUUGGCUUCUGCAUGUCAAUAACCAUGUGGAUUCAUCUGAAUCAUGGAGACCAUGGCCUGUGGGAGUUCCUGGCCCAUCUUUCCUCCCUCUGCCGCUACCUUCUUGUGGAGCCCCAACCCUGGAAGUGUUACCGGGCAGCUGCAAGGCGUCUCCGAAAGCUGGGACUCCAUGAUUUU
rnacentral:sRNA from 1 species